UCAUCCAUCUUUGCACCUAUUCCUUUCGAGAUUUUAUCUCGGCUUCGCGCAUUUCCUAUAAAUAUUGUAGGAUCUUUGUCAAUUUGGAAAUGGAUGGAAGAUCCAUUGAUAUGAAAUCAUUGAUAAAAUAUUUCAAGUAUGAUAAAGAAUAUACAGAAAACAAGAAAAGGACGAUCCAUUUCGUGUAAAGAAACGAGAUAAACAUUAGUCGGAAUAUUAUUUAUAAUCUAGGGAAAUUUAAUACGUUGCAAUGAUCUUCAAAUUCGUUCACCAAAUCAAAUAAUAAUCUUUUCUUGCAAAGUUUAAUCUUGGAAAUUAUAUCUACCGUAUUAUAACUAAGAUUAAAUCUAAAGAAAUAGAUGAUAUUAAUUCAAAAAGAAAAAAUCUGAUUUCAUCUGAUUGGAUUGGAACAUCAUCUGUAAUCAUUGUGGCAAACCACGUGCUCGCGGUACGCAGGUGCUAUAGCAGCAGCACCAGCAGCAGCAGCAGUGCACAUACACCUGCGAAAUACGUUACACCUGCAUGUCAGCUGCUGUGAUCCUAUUUCUCCAAGGUCGUAUGUCACGUGACUCCUCGAGGACCGCCUUGCUAACUACUAUCGCGAAAUUUAAUAUUUCAUCUUGCAGACUUGGCCAACAAUUUCUUUGACAAUUUUUUCUGCUCGCCAUUUAAGCAACAUUAUGGCACCAUUUCCGGAAGAAUUUUUUUCUCUAUUUAAUUAUUCAUAAUUAAUUUUUAAACUUAUAAACUUUGAAACAAAGAAUCUAUAGUAAAUUAUAUACCACUUUCAUAUUUUAACCUUUUUAAUUUUCAGAGAUGUUAGAGAUUAUACAAUAUAAUGGCUCGGCCAGAAAUAACCAACAACAGAUCUAUCUAAUAUUAAUUAUUAUUUAUCGCCAAAUUGAUUGGAUUAAUAAUCUAACCAUAAAAUCGCAACUGUUAAAAAAGAUUAAAGACAAAUUUUACAGCGAACGAAUAUAUAAUUGUAAUCGAAUAUCAUUUCAAAGAUUAAUUCUUCAUCACUAAACUGUUGAUAAACCGCAAUUGGAAUACAAACAAGAAAAAAAUCGCGUAUGUGAUGGUGAGGUACAAAGGAUUGAUUAAUGAACCGGAGAAAAAAAACAAACCGCAAUUACAUCAGAGAUGUUUGGGGUAGGCGCCAUUUACGUGAUACUACUACACCCGGCUCGUCAUCGCGAGAGCAUGUUAAUUAAAUCGAGAUUGUAAUCGAGCAGCUGGAAUCUUUCCUCGAAACUUUGUAACACUGAUUCCAUUGAAUUCUUCGUGAAUUAUAAGAGUGAUGAUUUAUAGAGUAACAUUUAUUGAUUACUGCGAUAUUAUUUCAUAUUAUGAAAUGAUAGGAUAAAGAACGAAAUUUCGUUACAUAUAGUUCGAUGUUUGAUUCGAUGCUAGUGGCUUUCUAUUAACACCUCAAUCACAUUGAAAAUUGACCACCAGAGGUGACAAGGAAUCGUCAUGUACAAUAUUGUCCAUGCUUGAACAACAGGUGGUCAGAGAAUUUACCAGGUUUCCAUAUCGCGUUCCUUUUAAGCGAACGAGAUCAAUGUUAAGUGUUCAUCGCAGAGCUCGAGUGACCAACAACUCGAGUGAAAAAGCUAAAAGAAAUGAAUAGAAGGACAUGGUAUUCUCAAUUUAUUUCUAAUUACUAAAGAGGCAAAGAUAAAAAAUAAAUAAAUUCAAAAGAGAUAAACAUGUAUUAUAAAAAAGCUCGAGCCCUGAGUUGGGUGUCCCGGAUAUGACAGUCAUCAGCGAUAUCGACGAAACGGGAAUCAAUCGAAACCUUCAAGUUCGAUAUGGAAGGGAUCAAAUAUAUACGUAUACCGGAUCCAUAUUGGUGGCUGUGAACCCCUACAAAGAAGUGGACUUCUACACGAACGAAUACGUGAAUCGAUACCAUGGCCAAAAAAUGGGCUCGUUGGAGCCACAUGUAUUUGCAUUGGCGGAGGCGGCGUAUAGGUCACUUCAAGAUACAGAGAGCAAUCAAUCCUGUGUGAUAUCGGGAGAAAGUGGCGCAGGCAAAACGGAAACCACAAAAUUCAUCUUACAGUAUCUUUGCUCGGUGACCAGUAAUGUCGAUACGUGGGUGGAACAACAAAUUUUGGAAGCGAACACCAUCCUCGAAGCUUUCGGAAACGCAAAGACAGUGAGGAAUGAUAAUAGCUCUCGGUUUGGCAAGUUCAUGCAAGUAUGCUUCGACAGCAAGUGGAUGAUCAAGGGAUGCAUCAUUCAAGAUUAUUUGCUCGAGCAGAGUCGCAUAACAUUUCAAAGCGCCGGCGAGAGAAAUUACCACGUGUUCUAUCAGCUGGUCGAGGCUGGGACUAGGGAUAAGGAAUUCGCCGAACAAUAUAAACUGAUGCCAGCCAGUCAUUACAAAUAUUUGAAUCAGUCUGGCUGCGUUAAAAUCGAUGGAAUCUCCGACUGCAAGAAGCUAGAUGCUCUUAGGCUUGCAUUUAACGUACUACAGGUCGCGCCAGAAAUGUGCGAGGGUAUUUUCAGAGUCCUGUCUGCCAUUCUUUGGCUCGGAAAUUUAAACUUUGAAGACGUGGAUGGUGAGAGAUGCGAGCUAACUAAAGAAGACCUUGACAUCGUUGGUACAGUUGCACCUUUGCUCGGACUUCAGGUUGAAGAUCUCACCAAGGUGGUUUUGAUACGACAGAUAAACGUCCGAGGAAAUAUCACUGAGAUACCAUUGAAAGUUCAAGAAGCCCGUGAAAAUAGACACGCUAUGGCGAAAGCAUUAUACUCGAGAACAUUUGCCUGGUUAAUCAAUCAUAUAAAUAAUUGUACAAACCCCGGUCAGGAUAGCUCAAGGUUUCUUGGUGUUUUGGAUAUAUUUGGCUUUGAAAACUUUGCCAUAAACAGUUUCGAGCAACUCUGUAUUAAUUAUACGAACGAGAAGCUGCACAAGUUUUUCAAUCACUACGUGUUCGCGCUGGAACAGGAACUAUACCGACAGGAAGAGAUCCAAUACUCCCAUAUCACCUUCACGGACAACACCAUGUGCCUGGAAUUAAUCGAGAAACCUCCACGAUGUGUUCUUAAAUUACUAACCGAACAGUGCCAUAUGCCGAAAGGUUCAGACCUAGCUUAUUUGACCAAUUUGCAUGCAGAAUUCGAGAACCAUCCGUGCUAUGUGAAAGGAGAUGAUCGACGAAAAUGGGAAAAAGAAUUUGGAGUAAAACAUUACGCAGGUUGCGUAACGUAUACAGUCGAAGGAUUUGUGGAUAAAAAUCGAGAUGUACAACAAGAUGUGUUCUUCGAUUUCAUGUCUAGAAGUACAAAUGAAUUUGUGCAAGAAAUUACAGUUUAUCAAGAUCUCUUGGGAUGUACAGUAGCCCGUGCAAGCGGUGGAAAUGCGACUACUAUGUCUCGUGGAACUUCGAAAGGCAAACCAACGCUUUGCGAUUCCUUCAGACAUCAGUUGCAAGCUUUGGUCGAUGUUCUUCAAGCUACUAUACCCUGGUAUGCCAGAUGUAUCAAACCUAAUAUGCAAAAAAUUGCAAAUCAUUAUGAUGAAAAGUUGGUUCUGGACCAGUUGAAAUAUUUAGGCAUGUUGGAUAUUAUUAGAAUCAGGAAAGAAGGUUUUCCUAUACAUAUGCCUUUCCAUGACUUUAUAACAAGAUAUCGUUGUCUGGAAAAAGAACGUAUGUCGCGUACUUAUAAUGAAAAAGAAUCUGUUAGAUCCUUGAUUAGUAGUCAAGGUAUACCAGAGACCGAAUGGCAAAUAGGCAAAACCAAAGUAUUUUUAAGAAGUUAUGUACACGAACCUUUGGAAGACUGUAGAAAUCAAAUGGUUACUAGCAAUGCAAUAAUGAUUCAAAAAAUAUGGAGGGGUUAUACAGUUCGACGCGAAUAUAAACGCAUAAGAGAUGCUGCAUUGAAAGUGCAACAUGCAUACCGAGGCUGGAAAUUAAGAAUAAUGUUUAUUAGAAAACGAAGAGCAGCUAUUGUGAUACAAAGUCAUUUGCGUGGUGUAUUUGCAAGAGAAGUUGCAGCUGCUUUGAGAGAAAUGAGACGAGUAGAUGAAGAAAUGAGGAAAAGAGAGAGAUUGGAAGAGGAGAGAAGAUUAAUGGAAGAUAAGAAAGCUUUGGAAGAAAGUCAAAGCGCGCAGUACAAUGGUAUUGUUGGAAUGGAACCCGGAAAAGCACAAGAAGAAAUUGCUGCAUUGUCGCAAAUGGCGGAGCAAAUGAAUUCUAAAAUGGCUACAUCAGAUUUACAAUCUGUAGACUUAGACAAUCUAUUUUCAUUCUUGUCUGACGUACAAUCAUCAAAAGGUAAUCAGAUCAUUGAAGAAAUUGGCGAACAAAUGGAUGAAUUGGUGGAAGAUCUUGAUGUAGAAUUAGAAACUGUAAUCCAACAAGAAUUAGAAAUGAAUUCGAAAGCAGAAUCUAAAGCAAAUACUCCAAAUGGACAAGAAGUUACCUCGCCAUUGCAACAACAAUCUCAAAGAAUACCUUGUACAAAUACUGGCAAACUUGGUCAGCCGAGUCUUCCAGAACCUACUGAACCUCCUCCACCUCCACCACCUCCUACUACAUUAACAAUAAAUGGUGAUUCUUCUACUGAUAAUGGAGAGCCAAUUUAUGAGUCUGUGUUACCACGCGAAGAAAAUAGUCCUAGUAGUCCAAUUUUAAUUAAUGGAAAUUCUGGACCAUUGGUUAAUGGUGAAUCGUGCGGUUCACCUCCGCCAGUACCAAAUAACAAAAUCAUGAAAGAAUCAAUUGCCGGUAGUCCUCCAUCUAGACCAGGAUCUAGAAAUUCAAACAGUCAUCAUUUACAUCAUAAUCAUCACGAACCAAUACCUCAACAACAACAGAAUGGUCAUGAUCAACAACAACAACAAUCACAACAAUCUCAACAACCACCUGUAGAAAGAGAACAGAGACGUAAAUGUAGAGUAGAACGCAAACUUCAAGAAUUGGAAGACAAAAAAGAAUCUGAUAACGAAGUUACUUAUCAUGAUAUUGUAGAGUUUGCACAAAAUUAUUUCAAUAGUCAUGAGCGAUCUCCGGAAGGUACGAUAAUGGCUACACUUACUAGAAAGUCACGUGGCAAGAGUGUAGAAUAUAUUCCCAAAUAUGAAAUGGUUACUUAUUAUAAAGGUUCUACUAUACCAAAUUCUCAUAUUCAUAUGUAUGAUCCUGAUAAUGUUAAUGUGGCUUGUUCAGUCUUUAGAGAUCUUUGUAAGUAUAUAAGAGGAGAAAUGAAACUAGAUCAAGAAAUUGCAACCAUUCAAAGUAUAAUUGGUUACGGUAUUGAACGUGAAGAAUUAAGAGAUGAAAUUUUCGUUCAAUGUAUGAGACAAGCAACUAACAAUCCCAAUCCAGAAUGGGCUGAACGAGUAUGGUUAUUGCUCUGUUUAGCUAUUGUUGCUUUUCAACCUAGUAAACUAUUGUAUAAAUACUUUGUAUCUUUCUUACGAAAGAAUUUGGCUCUUGAAGGCAAACUUCGACAGUAUGUUCAAUGGUGUGUGGAUAAUUGUAAAAACAUGAAAGUUUCCUGUAGACAACAUCCGCCAUCGACUGUAGAAAUUGCAGCUAUGAGACGAUUAGGCACUAUAGUUUGCCGAUUUUUCUUUUUGGAUGGAAGAACCAAAGCAAUUGAUGUACAUCCGACAGAUACUGCUGCCGAUGCUGUUGCUAAAUUAGGUGAAAAGUUAGGUCUUAGAUCUCUAGAAGGUUGGGCGAUUUAUCAAAGUAGACCAGAUGGAGAGGAACAUGUACGAGCACAUGAUUAUUUGUACGACGUUAUAGCCGCUUGGGAAAUGAAACAAUGCAAACUAAAUACAGCACAAUCAACCUUUUCAACGCUUCGUCGUGGAAAUAAUGCUACUUUAGGAAGUGGUGAUAAUCGAUUCGUUUUUAAACGAAGACUUUUCCGAAAUACUCGAGAAAUAUCUCAAGAUCCUGUCGAGGUUAAUAUGUUGUACGCUCAAGCUGUAUAUAACGUUGUGAAGUGUGACGACUUUCCAGUAUCUGAAAAAGUUGCGCUCCAAUUGGCAGGCUUACAAGCGCAAGUCGCUUUGGGCGAUCCAAAAGAUAACGAUCGAUUAGAUUAUUAUAGUGAAGUUGAUAGUUUUUUGCCUUAUCGAAUUAGUCGAGCCCGUGGCGAUGAUGUUUGGGUGCCAAUAAUAGCGCAGGCACACAGACAGUAUGGUGCCGGUCGCAAAGAAUUGGCGGCCAAGGUGUUAUAUUUAUCUUGUGUAAUGCAAUAUCCCCUCUACGGCACGACUAUGUUCAAUGUUACUUAUCGAGGUUAUUGGUCUUAUGGCAAUCAAUUAAUCUUAGGUAUCAAUUGUGACGGAUUGAUGUUAAUUAAACCAGAUGACAAAUUCGUCUUAUCGGAAUAUCGUUAUCAAGAUGUAGAAAGCAUCAUGUUAGAUCCGAGCGAUUCUUUCAUAACAUUGUCUCUUCUUCGACAUAAUCCUGAUAGUUCGCAUAAGUGUUUUGUUUUUGAAACACCGCAGAAAAAUGAGAUAGGUAGUUUGAUCGUUAGUUAUUGUCCUGCACUAGCAGGUUGGAUCACGGAAAAUGAGGUUCCUACUAAGAAACUCAAAUGUAUUACUAACGAGGAUCGUAUUAGACUUUAUCAUAAUUUAGUUAAUUGUCGGCGAACUUUAGUAGACGCGGAGAUAUUAAGAAAACCUCAAGAUUCUGGUGGAGGAUUUUUGAGAAAUACUUUGCGAAGAUUGUCUAAACACCGAAUAGAAAAACUUAGACAAGAGCAUGGUAGUGCAACUGAUCAUGGUGAAACUUAUAAAGGAUUUCCUUAUGCUUAUUGGGCAUUUAGUAGACAAGCUAUACCUCAAAGUCUUUCGAAACUGCCAGACCCUGAUGAGCAAAUGGGUCUCAGUGUAUUCCAAUUAAUUUUAACUUACGCUGGAUUAGGGCAAAAUGGAGACACUGUUCGUAGAGUAGAAGAUGAACACGUGAAUUUAAUACAAACCGUAAUGGAACGUUGCAUAAGAAAAGAAAAUCUGUUAGGUGAAUUGUAUCUUCAGUUGAUUAAACAAACUACGGAUCAUCCCGAUCCUAAUAGUCGUGUCAAUCUCAGGCAUUGGGCGUUACUUUCUUUGGCCUGUUCAGUUAUCUUACCUCCACAAAAAGUUGUUCGAAAAUAUCUAAUAGCACAUUUGAAACGAUGUGCUAGUGAUUAUGUUACCGAAGAGGGAAAGUACGCCCGAUUUGCUGAAAAGUGCCUUUACAGAACGCAAGGCACAAGAAGAAGACAAUGGCCGCCAAGUAGGGAAGAGAUAAUGUGCACGAUUAAUCGCAGACCUAUUUACGCAAGAUUCCAUUUUAUGGACGGGCAGUAUCAUGCUGUUGAAUUUCAUCCAUCAGCUACUGCUAGAGAUGUGAUGGAGAUUAUCAAAACUAAAAUUGGUUUAGAAGAGACUGCCAUGGGAUAUGCCAUUUAUGAGGUCUUAGGUCCAACUGAACGAGCCCUGAUACCGGAAGAAAAAAUUGCUGAUGUAAUGUCAAAAUGGGAACGUUAUAGAACGGCGAAUGCACAACAAAAUCAAACUCAGAGAAAACAUGCACAUCAUUUCUUCUUAUUUAAAAAACAUUUGUUCCUUGAUCAGUAUAUGAAUCUUGAUGAUCCCGUGGAAAAAGAAUUGCUUUAUCAUCAAGUACUGCAUGAUUUACGUGCUGAUCGAUUCCCUAUCACUGAAAAAGAAGCUAUGAUGUUAACAGCGUUACAAGCGCAAUUAGAACUUGGUGAUUGUGAAAAUGCUGUGUCUGAUUACGAUUAUCGUACUAUAUCAAGUCACUGCCUGCCUCCAAGACUGGUUCCAACUUUGUGUAUAGAAGGUGUACUUCAACAUCAUCAAUCAUUACGAGGAAUGACACCACCUGAAGCGAAGAAAGCUUUCUUAAAUUUAAUUCAGUCAUGGCCACUUCACAGAGCUACGAUAUUCGACGUUAUGCAAUCAUUUACUUCAAACUGGCCACGUGUUUUGUGGUUGGCCGUUGAUCAACAAGGUCUUCAUCUUCUGGAACAUCGUUCCAGGAAUACUCUUUGUACCUACGAAUAUAGCAGUAUUUUAAGUUAUAGUCCAGCUGUUAGUUGUUUGAUGAUUAUCACUGGUACUGAUAAGAAGCAAAGCAAAGUUAUUCUUACGACAUCUCAGGCACAUCAAAUUGCGAAUCUAAUUCGUGAAUAUAUGGAUGUCCUUCAAUCACCACCGGAAAUACCAAAAAGAGAAUCGGCGAUAGUUCAACAAAUUACUCAGCAACCGAUUCAACCACCGACAAAUCUUCCGGCUGCUACCGGUAGUCGUAAAUCUCGACCUGCUUCGGUACUACACAGAGGUGCUCCAGUGAUACAAUCACAAGCUAGUUAAAAGAUUAGAUAAUACUUAAAAGAUUAGUAAUACUUCUCCUCAACCUCGUACUUUAUUCGUUACCUCAUAAGUAUCAGGUUGCAGCGAGAAAGUAUCUCUGUAAUUAAUAUUUUAUUGGCAAGGCCUAUCAGGCAAUCAGGUCUCAUCGCAAUGAGACGGGUACUAGCCUAGAAAUACUUCUUUCUUCCAAUAUUUAUUCAAUUAGCUUAGAGCUCAAGAGACGUCGAAAGAAAAAUAGCUACUGCCAUUAAAAUAAUAGAGUAUUUAGCAAAUGGAUUGACAAAUAACUGCCAUUUUACGAUUUUAAAAACUAUUACGAAAAGCUGUCGGAGACUUUCUAUUUUAUCCGUCAUUGUCGUCUUUUUUACGAGCGAUUAUCAAUGUUUUUUAUAAAGUUUUUUGCAGGAUAUACAAUCACGAAGGACAAUUAUUAAAUCAAUCUUUAAAUAUUAAUCCAAUAUAUAAUAUCAUACUUUUGGCAUAUCAUUUUUUGUAUCGUUCGACGAAGGGUGAUUAUAAAAUUUUUGAUAUCAUUUUAUUUAAAUGAUAUCAAAAACGACCAAUUCAUUAAUUUUCAAUUUUGUCUUUUUUAUUAAUCACUCUAUUCAACGAUACAAUUAUAUACAAUACAGAAUCUUUGAUUCUGUCAUAUUGCAGUCGGCGUUUCAAAAUUUCAAGUGUUAACCUUACGCAAAAUUUAUAAUACAAUUAUAUAUAUAUAUUAUAUUUAGACA